UACGUAGGGGGCAAGCGUUGUCCGGAUUUAUUGGGCGUAAAGAGCGUGUAGGCGGUUUGGUAGGUCCGCUGUGAAAACUCGAGGCUCAACCUCGAGACGCCGGUGGAAACCAUCAGACUAGAGUCCGGAAGAGGAGAGUGGAAUUCCUGGUGUAGCGGUGAAAUGCGCAGAUAUCAGGAAGAACACCCGUGGCUAAGGCAGAUCUCUGGGCCGUAACUGACGCUGAGGAGCGAAAGCAUGGGGAGCGAACAGG
rnacentral:rRNA from 1 species